AAGUGCAGCUGCCUCCACUUUAAUCUCCACCGAAUUGUCCAAAACCGUGUCCAAGUGUUCAUCAACGUCACACCAUUUGUACAAAGUUUUUCCAACCUUCCAACAAUAUUCAAUGUAUGUGGUGUAAUAUAUAUAACUAGUGGAAUACUACCUAACCGUUGUGGAUUAGUACAAAAUAUAUACCUAGUGGAACACUUCCUAACCUUGAAAGAUUAGUACAAUAUAAUAUAUUUAUGGUAGGUUUCUCCUUAUCCGUGUACGAGUAGUAUUGUAUGGUGCAAAUUGAGCAUGGGAAUAAAGCAUGAGUUGCAUGCAAUAAUACUCCAAAAUAAAGGGUGCGACACACACAUGGCUGCACCGAAAUGACACGUGCAUCAUAUGCAAAUUGCAAAAAAUUACUGUAAUUCAUCUUCUAAAAUUUCUAGCAUUGUAAAGACACCACAAUACAAGGGAUGAAAGGAGGAACGACCAACACUUCACCAAAAUUCUGGACGCAAAUUCAAAAAGCACCGUGUGAUAUGGGUGAUUUUUAUGCUCUAAUCUGUAGGAAUAAGCGUACGUCACAUGCUCCAUUUCUAUGAAAUAUAGGUUUCACCGUAUGCUCCACUCCACCCCUGGGCGAUUCAUGCUAAUUCAAUUCCAACACGGACGUGGCUUACCCCUAUACUAUAAAUACAUGUUGUAUCACGUUUACAAAUGUUUGAAUAUAUUUUGGAGAGUAAAGGGAUGCUACAACAUUGUAAUUAGGUUUUUAUUAUUUUAAUUUAGGUCAUUCAUGUUUUUAGUUAUUAAUUACAACCUUGUGAUUACGAUUA